AUUGAACGCUGGCGGCAGGCUUAACACAUGCAAGUCGAGCGGAGCGAGGGUGCUUGCACCUUAGCUUAGCGGCGGACGGGUGAGUAAUGCUUAGGAAUCUGCCUAUUAGUGGGGGACAACAUUCCGAAAGGGAUGCUAAUACCGCAUACGCCCUACGGGGGAAAGCAGGGGAUCUUCGGACCUUGCGCUAAUAGAUGAGCCUAAGUCGGAUUAGCUAGUUGGUGGGGUAAAGGCCUACCAAGGCGACGAUCUGUAGCGGGUCUGAGAGGAUGAUCCGCCACACUGGGACUGAGACACGGCCCAGACUCCUACGGGAGGCAGCAGUGGGGAAUAUUGGACAAUGGGGGGAACCCUGAUCCAGCCAUGCCGCGUGUGUGAAGAAGGCCUUUUGGUUGUAAAGCACUUUAAGCGAGGAGGAGGCGCUCUAGGAUAAUACCCUAGAUGCGUGGACGUACUCGCAGAAUA
rnacentral:rRNA from 1 species